GUUCCGCGCUGUAAGAAGCCGGCAAUGACACAUAACGAGGCGUCACCCAAACGCGAGGCCACUCUGGUUUGGCGCCCGCCGGAGGGAGAGCACAGGGAGUGGGGAUGGGUACAGUUCAGAGCAACUGUAGUGAAGGACAUGAAUAAUUUCUGGGCUGAGUUACCCCACACUGUAGCAGAGGAAGGAGUGUGAACAAGCAUUACGAAAAGUGUUUCCAUCCCCCUUAGUAUAAUUUGGGGUACCGGUGCGGAUUAUUCAGUAUUCUUUAAUGUUCAUCGUAAUUUGCCUAACAAGAUUUCUCUUACAGCUAUAAAUUUGAUAUCUCUCCUGUCGACAACUCUCCUUACUGAUCCGAGCUUGGGACUGGCUUCUAACUACGCCAACUGCUGGCCUAUUGUUUUGCUAAGAUGCUCUUAAUUUUAUUAUAAAUCACUGCUAAAUGAACUUGCUUCAGGUUAAAUGCUUUUGUAACCAUGAAAUAAAUAAACUUGAUUCAA